CAUCAUGCACGGAGGAUUUCAUCAGAAGAUGCUCCAUCUGAGUGAGCGGCCGGUAUGCUGCGUGUGGAAGGAACCUAACAGGCCCGGGUGGGUGAGGAUUAAUGGUGAGGAACCAGCAAACCCUGCAGAGCGAGAGCCACGACAUUUCAGGAAUUUGGAUGCCGCAGCUUGGAGUGGACCAAUCGCUGAGAUGAAUCACAGUUGGCUGCAGGAUGACAGAUUGCUUUCCAGUAUUUGGAGAGUGUUUAAAUCAUUGUUGCUCACUAACUAAAGCCUGUGGCUCCAAACGAGAUGGCACAGCACUCAUCCGCAUAGCUGCUGUUUUCUGAAAUAAAGUAUUGUUAGAAAGAA